rnacentral:rRNA from 1 species
AACGAACGCUGGCGGCAGGCUUAACACAUGCAAGUCGAGCGCCCCGCAAGGGGAGCGGCAGACGGGUGAGUAACGCGUGGGAACAUACCCUUUGGUUCGGAAUAACUCAGGGAAACUUGAGCUAAUACCGGAUACGUCCGUAAGGAGAAAGAUUUAUCGCCAAAGGAUUGGCCCGCGUCCGAUUAGCUAGUUGGUGAGGUAACGGCUCACCAAGGCUACGAUCGGUAGCUGGUCUGAGAGGAUGAUCAGCCACAUUGGGACUGAGACACGGCCCAAACUCCUACGGGAGGCAGCAGUGGGGAAUAUUGGACAAUGGGCGGCAAGCCUGAUCCAGCCAUGCCGCGUGAGUGAUGAAGGCCUUAGGGUUGUAAAGCUCUUUUGUCCGGGAAGAUAAUGACUGUACCGGAAGGAAUAAGCCCCGGCUAACUUCGUGCCAGCAGCCGCGGUAAU